CCUACGGGUAGCAGCAGUGAGGAAUAUUGGUCAAUGGGCGAGAGCCUGAAGCAGCCAAGUCGCGUGAGGGAAGACGGUCCUAUGGAUUGUCAACCUCUUUUGCCGGGGAGCAAAAAGCGGUACGUGUACCGCAUCGAGAUUACCCGGAUAAAAGGCAUCGGCUAACUCCGUGCCAUCAGACGAGGUAAUACGGAGGAUGCGAGCGUUAUCCGGAUGUAGUGGGUGUAACGGGUGAGCAGGCGGCGAGUUAAGUCAGCGGUAAAAUUGCGGGGCUCAACCCCGCCGAGCCGUUGAAACUGGCUUGCUAGAGUGGGCGAGAAGUAUGCGGAAUGCGUGGUGUAGCGGUGAAAUGCAUAGAUAUCACGCAGAACUCCGAUUGCGAAGGCAGCAUACCGGCGCCCAACUGACGCUCAGGCACGAAAGCGUGGGUAUCGAACAGGAGUAGAUACCCGAGUAGUC
rnacentral:rRNA from 1 species